rnacentral:rRNA from 1 species
CUACGGGGUGCUCCAGUCGAGAAUCUUCCGCAAUGGACGAAAGUCUGACGGAGCGACGCCGCGUGCGGGAUGAAGGCCUUCGGGUUGUAAACCGCUGUCAGUGGGGAGGAAAUGCAUCAGGGUUCUCCCUGGUGUUUGACCGAUCCGCAGAGGAAGCGCAGGCUAAGUUCGUGCCAGCAGCCGCGGUAACACGAACUGCGCGAACGUUAUUCGGAAUCACUGGGCUUAAAGAGUUCGUAGGCGGCCUUUCAAGUCGGGUGUGAAAUCCCUCGGCUCAACCGAGGAAUUGCGCCUGAUACUGUUGGGCUUGAGGGGGAUAGGGGUGAGCGGAACUGAUGGUGGAGCGGUGAAAUGCGUUGAUAUCAUCAGGAACACCGGUGGCGAAGGCGGCUCACUGGAUCUCUUCUGACGCUGAGGAACGAAAGCUAGGGGAGCGAACGGGAUUAGAUACCCUCGUAGUC